rnacentral:rRNA from 1 species
UACGUAGGGUCCGAGCGUUUGUCCGGAAUUAUUGGGCGUAAAGAGCUCGUAGGCGGUUUGUCGCGUCUGCUGUGAAAUCCCGAGGCUCAACCUCGGGCCUGCAGUGGGUACGGGCAGACUGGAGUGCGGUAGGGGGAGAAUGGAAUUCCUGGUGUAGCGGUGGAAUGCGCAGAUAUCAGGAGGAACACCGAUGGCGAAGGCAGGUCUCUGGGCCGCAACUGACGCUGAGGAGCGAAAGCAUGGGGAGCGAACAGG